GGGUACUCGAGCGGCGAACGGGUGAGUAACACGUGAGUAAUCUGCCCCAGGCUCUGGGAUAGCCACCGGAAACGGUGAUUAAUACCGGAUAUGACAACCGAUCGCAUGAUCUGGUUGUGGAAAGUUUUUCGGCCUGGGAUGUGCUCGCGGCCUAUCAGCUUGUUGGUGAGGUAAUGGCUCACCAAGGCUUCGACGGGUAGCCGGCCUGAGAGGGUGACCGGCCACACUGGGACUGAGACACGGCCCAGACUCCUACGGGAGGCAGCAGUGGGGAAUAUUGGACAAUGGGCGGAAGCCUGAUCCAGCAACGCCGCGUGAGGGAUGACGGCCUUCGGGUUGUAAACCUCUUUCAGCACAGACGAAGCGAAAGUGACGGUAUGUGCAGAAGAAGGACCGGCCAACUACGUGCCAGCAGCCGCGGUAAUACGUAGGGUCCGAGCGUUGUCCGGAAUUAUUGGGCGUAAAGGGCUCGUAGGCGGUCUGUCGCGUCGGGAGUGAAAACCAGGUGCUUAACACCUGGCCUGCUUCCGAUACGGGCAGACUAGAGGUACUCAGGGGAGAAUGGAAUUCCUGGUGUAGCGGUGAAAUGCGCAGAUAUCAGGAGGAACACCGGUGGCGAA
rnacentral:rRNA from 1 species